GCUGCCGGUGGGUGCUGCUGUGCAGCACCCGCUAAUUUUUCUCUGUGGGUGCUCCAGCCCUGGAGCACCCAUGGAGUUGGCGCCUAUGGUAUGGUGUUGCAAAUACAGAGUUGCACUAGUUUGUAUAGAUGGCCGGAAGAACAUGGUGAAACAAACCACCAGUUGUUUGACCAGGAAAAGAUCUCUGAGCGGUUUGUUCCUUGGAAAGAGGCAGGAGCGAGAUCCCAUCCUAGGGUGACCAGAUAUCAAGUGUGAAAAAUCGGGACGGGGGUGGGGGGCAAUAGGUACCUAUAUAAGACAAAGCCCAAAUAUCACAACUGUCCCUAUAAAAUUGGGACAUCUGGUCACACUAUCCCACCCUGUCACAGGCCCCAAAAGCUUUGGACCAAAAUCCCUAUGAAGUCAAAAUUCUAAACUAUAAAUCUUGAAAAUAAAAAAUCCAGAGAGGGUCAGUUUCCUUUACUGGUAUUUAAAUGCUUUCCCCACAAAAUCAUACCGUACUAGCAUGCUGGUAGGAACAUUGUCACAGGUGGAUUUUCUCUGUCCUCAUGAUAAUAGUUAACCCCUCGAUAGUACUCAUCACCAUGUAUUCUUUGACAGGUUUCCAUGUCCUGUUUAGGGUUUAUGUGCUGCCCUCCGUUCCCGUUUCCAGUUGUGUACAGGUUUGGUGUGGUCGGCCAUUUUGAAUUUUUUUUAUUAUUAUUAUUUUUCUGUGUUGGACAGGGGAAUGUUGUGUGCUUGUGGUUUGGUUGAUUUUUUAGAGAAAAAGUAUGAAAGAAUAGAAAGACAGGCCUUAAAGGAAAGGCGUUUUUUAAAAAGAAAGAUUGUUUGGUUAGGUUUAGUAAGGAGAGAUGUUGGUUAUGAAAGAAAAAGUUUGAAAAGAGUAAAAAGGAAUAGAAAAAUAGAAAAAAAUGAAAUCAUAGAAAAUAUUUGAAAUAAAUUAAAAAAGCAAAAGGUUUAUUAAAUAAAAGAGGAAAAUAUAAGGUGGAUUGAGAGAGGUUGGUUAUUAAAGAAAAUAAAGAUUUUUGGUUAGGUUUAUUAAGGAGAGAGGGUUUUAAAGAAUAGAAAGAAGAAAAAUAAGCACAGGGCAAAGAAAGAAGGGUUUUAGAGAAACAAAUAAAAAAUAAAGCAACAAGAGAGUCUGUGUUGCUGAACACGUGCAGAGCAAAGCAUGGUACCCCUACGACUGCCGGUAGUGAAAUGAUAGCUGUCCUGGGUGGCGAGACUCGGGAGGAAAUUACGUCGGACCAAUCAGAAGCUGUUUUACAACUAUGUCAUAGAACACAUUUUUUCAGAUGCAGGCUAUCGUGGAGCAGAUUAUUUGAAAAACUCUAGCCAAUGAGCAUUUGACCAUGUGUAUAAAGCUGUGCAUUUUUGUGAAUGGUGGUUUUAAAAUUGGGAGCCUAGACACUACGGCCAUGUCCUUUUACAAGAUGCCUACAGACAUCAAGAAGCCCGAAUUGUUUUUGGGUGCCCCUAAUUGUGUUCAGAAGAGACACCCCAUUUACACUUUUUUUGCUAAAGAGGCAGCUGCAAUGCCGAACCCAGCGUUUCAGCCUGAAAUAGAACCGAAGAACCAGGAAGACUUUUUGGAGUCGUCGCUGGUUGUAAAAAAGGAAAGGAAUAGCAUGUGUGAAAAAAUUGUUGCCAGCUUUGGAGGAAGUAGACUCGAAGGUGGAGGUAGGACUGGAAGAAGAGUCUGUAUAUGGGGACAUGGCAGCUGAGGGAUCGUUGGAGGAUAGGGAUGCUGAAAGCCAACUGACAGACCCUGAGUCAUGAAAAGAUGGAAUCAUUGUUAUGGUAAAAGCAACUGAAAGUUUUGUGAAAAAAUUAUUACAAUUAUGUGCUUAAAAUGGAUUUUUUGGUUUUUUGGCAGAUAACCAAGCCAGGACCAUACAGGAUCACAGCUCUGGUGUGUAGCGAGUGGCCAUCAGAUACAGAGCUAGAAAUGCAUGAUGAGACAUCUUCAGAGGAUGAAGAGGAUAAAGAGAGACGUACUUUGAGAGGAAUAACCAUAAUAUUCACCUGCUGGUUUCGCAUGAAGCAUGAUUUAAAAAAAAGACUGUGAAAAGUAAGGAGGUUGAUCAGCAGAGCUGCAAAGAUGACAUUAUGGCUGACAUUAUUAGGGCCGUUGUAGUAAAAACCAUUUACCACUGUUUGAAAAGAGAGCUUUUUGAAAACUCUGCAGCCUGCGCGAGAGAGGCUUCCAAUGAUCUCAGCCAUGUCUGUUUGUCUUGGGAUUGCUCAGAAACAUUUCACCAGAUUAAGAUAUAUUUCUUCUCAUCUCAACGUGGUUCAGGUCCUAAAUAUAAUUAUGGCUGAAGCCUACAAACUGAAGCAGCUUAACAUGACCAUUGAAACUGUAACCAAAGUUGUCAAAACGAUCAGAGAGGGAACAAAGACACCAGAUCCAUUGGUAUUGCUGGUAGUUCUUUCAAAGAAGGUGUCAGCAGAAAUUGGCCGAUAGGUGUGUAGUAUGGUUCGUAAAAUGAGUCCUAAAACUUUUUACAUGCCAGUUCCUUAUCCUAAAGGGUCAAAAAUAAAAACCUGACUUUUGAUUAAGAUGCAAUGUAAAAUAAGAAAGACUUGUAUAACUGUUCUUUAUAUUCCUUUGCUUCUGUAUUAAAUAAAUUUUGUUUAGCCAUAUCCCAUAUUACUCUGCUUCUGCAUUAAAUAAA